CUCCGCCCUGCCGGAACUCCAACGAUUGGCCCGGCAAAGAAUGGAGCACUACGGCUUGCUCAACGUAAUCACGGAGCCCGAUGAACUGAACGCCACUGUGGAAGCCAUGAGGCCAGUUUUAAAAGCACUCAAGGAAAUACAAAGCAAUGACCCCAAUAGGAAGACCGUGAUCGCGAUUGGUUCGCUCAACUACAAGUCGGGUGGUUUUGACCGCGACUACAAGCAGAUAAUAAAGAAUGUCGUCAAGUAAGCCCG